AAAUUUAGGUUAAUUAAACCAAGAGCCUUCAAAGCCCUAAAUACGAGUAUAAUAACCUCAUAAUCUCUG
rnacentral:tRNA from 1 species